CAGCCGCCGCGGUAAUACGUAGGGUGCGAGCGUUAAUCGGAAUUACUGGGCGUAAAGCGUGCGCAGGCGGUUCGUUAAGACAGAUGUGAAAUCCCCGGGCUUAACCUGGGAACUGCAUUUGUGACUGGCGAGCUAGAGUAUGGCAGAGGGGGGUAGAAUUCCACGUGUAGCAGUGAAAAGCGUAGAGAUGUGGAGGAAUACCGGUGGCGAAGGCAGCCCCCUGGGCCAAUACUGACGCUCAUGCACGAAAGCGUGGGGAGCAAACAGGAUUAGAGACCCCAGUAGUCCCUGUCUCUUAUAC
rnacentral:rRNA from 1 species